rnacentral:rRNA from 1 species
AUAGCCUCAGUAACGGCGAGUGAAGCGGCUACAGCUCAAAUUUGAAAUCUGGCCUCCUUUGGGGGUCCGAGUUGUAAUUUGCAGAGGAUGCUUUGGCAUUGGCGGCGGUCUAAGUUCCUUGGAACAGGACAUCGCAGAGGGUGAGAAUCCCGUACGUGGGCGCCUGCCUUUGCCGUGUAAAGCUCCUUCGACGAGUCGAGUUGUUUGGGAAUGCAGCUCUAAAUGGGAGGUAAAUUUCUCCUAAAGCUAAAUACCGGCCAGAGACCGAUAGCGCACAAGUAGAGUGAUCGAAAGAUGAAAAGUACUUUGGAAAGAGAGUCAAAUAGCACGUGAAAUUGUUGAAAGGGAAGCGCUUGCAGCCAGACUUGCCCGCAGUUGCUCACCUAGGCUUUUGCCUGGGGCACUCUUCUGCGGGCAGGCCAGCAUCAGUUUGGGCGGUCGGAUAAAGGUCUCUGUCAUGUACCACCCUUCGGGGUGGCCUUAUAGGGGAGGCGCAAUGCGACCAGCCCGGACUGAGGUCCGCGCAUCUGCUAGGAUGCUGGCGUAAUGGCUGUAAGCGGCCCGUCUUGAAACACGGACCAAGGAGUCUAACAUCUAUGCGAGUGUUUGGGUGUCAAGCCCGGGCGCGUAAUGAAAGUGAACGGAGGUGGGAACCUUUCGGGGUGCACCAUCGACCGAUCCUGAUGUCUUCGGAUGGAUUUGAGUAAGAGCAUAGCUGUUGGGACCCGAAAGAUGGUGAACUAUGCUUGAAUAGGGUGAAGCCAGAGGAAACUCUGGUGGAGGCUCGCAGCGGUUCUGACGUGCAAAUCGAUCGUCAAAUUUGGGCAUAGGGGCGAAAGACUAAUCGAACCAU